rnacentral:rRNA from 1 species
AGAAUCAACGCUGGCGGCGUGCCUAACACAUGCAAGUCGAACGAGAAAGUGGAGCAAUCCAUGAGUAAAGUGGCGCACGGGUGAGUAACACGUGACUAACCUACCCUUGAGUGGGGGAUAACCUAGAGAAUCUGGGCUAAUACCGCAUAAUACCUUCGGGUCAAAGGAGCAAUUCGCUUAAGGAGGGGGUCGCGGCCGAUUAGUUAGUUGGCGGGGUAAUGGCCCACCAAGACUGUGAUCGGUA